rnacentral:rRNA from 1 species
CUUAAAUUUUGGUUUAUAUCAUUAUUUAAAAUAAUAUUAUAUGAGUAAAAGAAUUGAACUUUAUCCACAAAAAAGUACUGAGAAGGAAAGUCUUGUCAAUUUUAAAGAAUUUAUUUAUUAUACCUUUUGUAUCAGGGUUUAUUCAAUUUUGACCACUAUUGUCAAGUCCCGAAAUAAGGUGAUUUAUGCUAAUUAAAGAUGAUUGUUUCAUAACUCUCUUUAAGAUUAACAUCGGUGUAAAAAAUAUUUCGUACCUAUAUAUCUGGUUGGCAGAAGACUCCUUUAGGGUACUCCGGAAGGAAGAUUUUCUAGGGGACGAGCUCUAGAAAAAAUUAUAUCAAAUUACUACCAGCGAUAUGAAUAGGCUUAAAAGUUGCCAGGGUGUAAUAACCAGGGUCGUUUAAAUAAUAAUUUAAAGUUGAUUAAUUGAAUCUAGCCGAUGCUUAUUAUUAACAUUGAGCAGUCAUAAUGAUAAAAUUAGUAUAUGUAUAAAAAUGCAAUAGAAUCUAUUCCAAAAAUUUUGGAAGGAAUUCGGCAAAACUUGCCUCCGCCU